UGGGCGCAGCCUGAUGCAGCCAUGCCGCGUGUGUGAAGAAGGCCUUCGGGUUGUAAAGUACUUUCAGUCGUGAGGAAGGCGGCGUCGUUAAUAGCGGCGUUGUUUGACGUUAGCGACAGAAGAAGCACCGGCUAACUCCGUGCCAGCAGCCGCGGUAAUACGGAGGGUGCGAGCGUUAAUCGGAAUUACUGGGCGUAAAGCGCAUGCAGGUGGUUUGUUAAGUCAGAUGUGAAAGCCCGGGGCUCAACCUCGGAAUAGCAUUUGAAACUGGCAGACUAGAGUACUGUAGAGGGGGGUAGAAUUUCAGGUGUAGCGGUGAAAUGCGUAGAGAUCUGAAGGAAUACCGGUGGCGAAGGCGGCCCCCUGGACAGAUACUGACACUCAGAUGCGAAAGCGUGGGGAGCAAACAGGAUUAGAUACCCUGGUAGUCCACGCCGUAAACGAUGUCUACUUGGAGGUUGUGGCCUUGAGCCGUGGCUUUCGGAGCUAACGCGUUAAGUAGACCGCCUGGGGAGUACGGUCGCAAGAUUAAAACUCAAAUGAAUUGACGGGG
rnacentral:rRNA from 1 species